AACGAACGCUGGCGGCAUGCCUAACACAUGCAAGUCGAACGAGACCUUCGGGUCUAGUGGCGCACGGGUGCGUAACGCGUUGGAACCUGCCCUUAGGUUCGGAAUAACUCCCCGAAUGGGGUGCUAAUACCGGCUAAUGUCUUCGGACCAAAGAUUUAUCGCCUUUGGAUGGGCUCGCGUUGGAUUAGCUAGUUGGUAGGGUAAAAGCCUAUCAAAGCGACGAUCCAUAGCUGGUAUGAGAGGCUGAUCAGCCACACUGGGACUGAGACACGGCCCAGACUCCUACGGGAGGGAGCAGUGGGGAAUAUUGGAAAAUGGGGGGAAGGCUGAUCGAGCAAUGACGGGUGAGUGAUGAAGGCCUUAGGGUUGUAAAGCUAUUUUACCCGGGAUGAUAAUGACAGUACCGGGAGAAUAAGCUCCGGCUAACUCCGUG
rnacentral:rRNA from 1 species